UACGUAGGGGGCAAGCGUUGUCCGGAAUCAUUGGGCGUAAAGAGCGUGUAGGCGGUCCGGUAAGUCGGCUGUGAAAGUCCAGGGCUCAACCCUGGGAUGCCGGUCGAUACUGCCGGACUAGAGUUCGGUAGAGGAGUGUGGAAUUCCUGGUGGAGCGGUGAAAUGCGCAGAGAUCAGGAGGAACACCCGUAGCGAAGGCGGCACUCUGGGCCGAUACUGACACUGAGGAGCGAAAGCGUGGGGAGCGAACAGG
rnacentral:rRNA from 1 species